rnacentral:rRNA from 1 species
AAUUUGCAGAGGGCGCUUUGGCUUUGGCAGCGGUCCAAGUUCCUUGGAACAGGACGUCACAGAGGGUGAGAAUCCCGUACGUGGUCGCUGGCUAUUGCCGUGUAAAGCCCCUUCGACGAGUCGAGUUGUUUGGGAAUGCAGCUCUAAAUGGGAGGUACAUUUCUUCUAAAGCUAAAUAUUGGCCAGAGACCGAUAGCGCACAAGUAGAGUGAUCGAAAGAUGAAAAGCACUUUGGAAAGAGAGUCAAACAGCACGUGAAAUUGUUGAAAGGGAAGCGCUUGCAGCCAGACUUGCUUACAGUUGCUCAUCCGGGUUUCUACCCGGUGCACUCUUCUGUAGGCAGGCCAGCAUCAGUUUGGGCGGUAGGAUAAAGGUCUCUGUCACGUACCUCCUUUCGGGGAGGCCUUAUAGGGGAGACGACAUACUACCAGCCUGGACUGAGGUCCGCGCAUCUGCUAGGAUGCUGGCGUAAUGGCUGUAAGCGGCCCGUCUUGAAACACGGACCAAGGAGUCUAACAUCUAUGCGAGUGUUUGGGUGUCAAGCCCGAGCGCGUAAUGAAAGUGAACGGAGGUGGGAACCCGCAAGGGUGCACCAUCGACCGAUCCUGAUGUCUUCGGAAGGAUUUGAGUAAGAGCAUGGCUGUUGGGACCCGAAAGAUGGUGAACUAUGCUUGAAUAGGGUGAAGCCAGAGGAAACUCUGGUGGAGGCUCGCAGCGGUUCUGACGUGCAAAUCGAUCGUCAAAUUUGGGCAU